rnacentral:rRNA from 1 species
GAUGAACGCUGACAGAAUGCUUAACACAUGCAAGUCAACUUGAACUUCGGUUUGGGUGGCGGACGGGUGAGUAACGCGUAAAGAACUUGCCUCACAGAUAGGGACAACAUUUGGAAACGAAUGCUAAUACCUGAUAUUAUGAUUAUAUGGCAUCGUAUAAUUAUGAAAGCUAUAUGCGCUGUGAGAGAGCUUUGCGUCCCAUUAGCUAGUUGGAGAGGUAACGGCUCACCAAGGCGAUGAUGGGUAGCCGGCCUGAGAGGGUGAUCGGCCACAAGGGGACUAAGACACGGCCCUUACUCCUACGGGAGGCAGCAGUGGGGAAUAUUGGACAAUGGACCAAGAGUCUGAUCCAGCAAUUCUGUGUGCACGAUGAAGUUUUGCGGAAUGUAAAGUGCUUUCAGUUGGGAAGAAAAAAAUGACGGUACCAACAGAAGAAGUGACGGCUAAAUACGUG